AGAGUUUGAUCCUGGCUCAGGAUGAACGCUGGCGGUAUGCUUAACACAUGCAAGUCGAACGAAAGCUUUAUGCUUUAGUGGCGAACGGGUGCGUAAUACGUGAGAAUCUGCCCUUAGGAGGAGAAUAACUUCUGGAAACGAUUGCUAAGUCUCCAUAUGCCGAGAGGUAAAAUAGUUUACACUGCCUAGGGAUGAGCUCACGCCUGAUUAGCUUGUUGGUAAGGUAAUGGCUUACCAAGGCCACGAUCAGUAGCUGGUUUGAGAGAACGAUCAGCCACACUGGGACUGAGACACGGCCCAGACUCCUCCGGGAGGCAGCAGUGAGGAAUUUUCCGCAAUGGGCGAAAGCCUGACGGAGCAAUACCGCGUGAGGGAUGAAGGAUUUUGGUCUGUAAACCUCUUUUCUCAAGAAAGAAGUUCUGACGGUACUUGAGGAAUAAGCAUCGGCUAACUCCGUGCCAGCAGCCGCGGUAAUACGGGGGAUGCAAGCGUUAUCCGGAUUUAUUGGGCGUAAAGCGCCUGUAGGUUGUUUAAUAAGUCUGUUGUUAAAGACUAGGGCUUAACCCUAGGAAAGCAAUGGAAACUACUAGACUUGAGUAUGAUAGGGGUAGAGGGAAUUUCUAGUGUAGCGGUGAAAUGCGUAGAUAUUAGAAAGAACACCGGCGGCGAAGGCGCUCUACUGGAUCAUUACUGACACUCAGAGGCGAAAGCUAGGGUAGCAAAAGGGAUUAGAUACCCCUGUAGUCCUAGCCGUAAACGAUGGAUACUACAUGUUGCGUUUUUA
rnacentral:rRNA from 1 species